UACGCAGUGAUAAAGAAAAGCUU
rnacentral:siRNA from 1 species